UACGUAGGUGGCAAGCGUUGUCCGGAUUUACUGGGCGUAAAGAGCGCGCAGGCGGUCGUUCAAGUCGCGUGUGAAAGCCCCCGGCUCAACUGGGGAGGGUCACGCGAUACUGAUCGACUCGAAGGCAGGAGAGGGUAGUGGAAUUCCCGGUGUAGUGGUGAAAUGCGUAGAUAUCGGGGAGGAACACCGGUGGCGAAGGCGGGUCUCUGGGCCGAUACUGACGCUGAGGAGCGAAAGCGUGGGGAGCGAACAGG
rnacentral:rRNA from 1 species